ACGGGAGGCAGCAGUGGGGAAUAUUGGGCAAUGGGCGCAAGCCUGACCCAGCGACGCCGCGUGAGGGAAGAAGGUCUUCGGAUUGUAAACCUCUGUAGACAGGGACGAAGGAAGUGACGGUACCUGUAAAGUAAGCCACGGCUAACUGCGUGCCAGUAGCCGCGGUAAUACGUAGGUGGCGAGCGUUAUCCGGAUUUACUGGGUGUAAAGGGUGUGUAGGCGGGGAUUCAAGGCAGAUGUGAAAAUUACGGGCUCAACCCGUAACCUGCAUUUGAAACUGAUUUUCUUGAGUGUGGGAGAGGUAAAUGGAAUUCCCGGUGUAACGGUGAAAUGUAUAGAUAUCGGGAGGAACACCAGUGGCGAAGGCGGCUUACUGGACGAUAACUGACGUUGAGGCUCGAAAGCGUGGGGAGCAAACAGGAUUAGAUACCCUGGUA
rnacentral:rRNA from 1 species